AUGUAUUCUCCGCACGGACCGACUCGAGCGUGUCGUCCGCAUCGACCUGACGACCGCUCGCUACGUUCUGUCAGCG
rnacentral:sRNA from 1 species